UCCCACGAAUUGCUUUGGUGAAACCUGAGAAGGCAAGAGGCGUUGAGGACGUUCUACUAAGAGCUGCUCAGAUGGGUCAGAUAGUUGAGAAGGUUUCUGAAGAGAGACUAAUAUCAUUGCUGGAGCAGAUAAACACCCAAACAACUAAACAGACGAAAGUCACCAUCCAGAGGCGCCGGAGUGUUCUUGACGAUGAUGAUUAGCUUUGAGUUAAUAAUUUACCUCGGUCUUGGAAGUAAUGGUUUCCGGUAUCGAUGAUACUAUGCCAUUUGUCUUGCUUGUAUAUUAAUGGGCACGCUGUCUGGUCCGGUAGUUUCUUAUAUUAUUCUCUACUGUAUUUCCUAUGUGCACUUCUCGUCUUAAUUUUGCUCUUGCACCAUGUAGUCUCUAUAAAUAAGCAGUGGAACCUUUUCAUUGUUGAGUGAUAAAUCAGAAUUUUACUCAUUUCAACCUCUCACGUAGCUGGAACUUUGAGACGACAGCCAUCUCAGAAUUCCGAGCUUUAGUUAGUCUUGCUCUCGACACUAAAUAGAUCUAUGUUUUAGCGAGAAGGUCAGUGUCCUUCAUGUGAUUCACACUUAUCAUGGCUAUAUCUUACUCGUUAUGAUGAAUUCAUUGGAA